UACGUAGGGUGCAAGCGUUAAUCGGAAUUACUGGGCGUAAAGCGUGCGCAGGCGGUUAUAUAAGCCAGAUGUGAAAUCCCCGGGCUCAACCUGGGAACUGCAUUUGUGACUGUAGAGCUGGAGUACGGCAGAGGGGGAUGGAAUUCCGCGUGUAGCAGUGAAAUGCGUAGAUAUGCGGAGGAACACCGAUGGCGAAGGCAAUCCCCUGGGCCUGUACUGACGCUCAUGCACGAAAGCGUGGGGAGCAAACAGG
rnacentral:rRNA from 1 species